GCAGGCGGUUUUUUAAGUCUGAAUGUGAAAGCCCCCGGCUUCAACCGGGGAGGGUCAUUUGGAAACUGGGGAAACUUUGAGUGCAGAAGAGGAGAGUGGAAUUCCACGUGUAGCGGUGAAAUGCGUAGAGAUGUGGAGGAACACCAGUGGCGAAGGCGACUCUCUGGUCUGUAACUGACGCUGAGGAGCGAAAGCGUGGGGAGCGAACAGGAUUAGAUACCCUGGUAGUCCACGCCGUAAACGAUGAGUGCUAAGUGUUAGGGGGUUUCCGCCCCUUAGUGCUGCAGCUAACGCAUUAAGCACUCCGCCUGGGGAGUACGGUCGCAAGACUGAAACUCAAAGGAAUUGACGGGGGCCCGCACAAGCGGUGGAGCAUGUGGUUUAAUUCGAAGCAACGCGAAGAACCUUACCAGGUCUUGACAUCCUCUGACAAUCCUAGAGAUAGGACGUCCCCUUCGGGGGCAGAGUGACAGGUGGUGCAUGGUUGUCGUCAGCUCGUGUCGUGAGAUGUUGGGUUAAGUCCCGCAACGAGCGCAACCCUUGAUCUUAGUUGCCAGCAUUCAGUUGGGCACUCUAAGGUGACUGCCGGUGACAAACCGGAGGAAGGUGGGGAUGACGUCAAAUCAUCAUGCCCCUUAUGACCUGGGCUACACACGUGCUACAAUGGACAGAACAAAGGGCAGCGAAACCGCGAGGUUAAGCCAAUCCCACAAAUCUGUUCUCAGUUCGGAUCGCAGUCUGCAACUCGACUGCGUGAAGCUGGAAUCGCUAGUAAUCGCGGAUCACAUG
rnacentral:rRNA from 1 species